rnacentral:rRNA from 1 species
CCCGCCUAAUGGUGACUCUGAAUAGCUCUGGCUGAUCGCAUGGUCUUGUACCGGCGACAUAUCUAUCAAGUGUCUGCCUUAUCAACUUUCGAUGGUAGUUUAUGUGCCUACCAUGGUUGUAACGGGUAACGGAGAAUAAGGGUUCGACUCCGGAGAGGGAGCCUGAGAAACGGCUACCACAUCCAAGGAAGGCAGCAGGCGCGCAAAUUACCCACUCU